AGAGCGAACGCUGGCGGCAGGCCUAACACAUGCAAGUCGAGCGCGUGUAGCAAUACACGAGCGGCAGACGGGAGAGUAACACGUGGGAACGCGCCCUUCGGUUCGGAAUAACUCAGGGAAACUUGAGCUAAUACCGGAUACGCCCUUACGGGGAAAGAUUUAUUGCCGAAGGAACGGCCCGCGUCCGAUUAGCUAGUUGGUGAGGUAACGGCUCACCAAGGCGACGAUCGGUAGCUGGUCUGAGAGGAUGACCAGCCUCACUGGGACUGAGACACGGCCCAGACUCCUACGGGAGGCAGCAGUGGGGAAUAUUGGACAAUGGGCGCAAGCCUGAUCCAGCCAUGCCGCGUGGAUGAUGAAGGCCUUAGGGUUGUAAAGUCCUUUAACGGGAAGAUAAUGACGGUACCGUAGAAUAAGCCCGGCUAACUUCGUGCCAGCAGCCGC
rnacentral:rRNA from 1 species